UCCUGCCUAGGGAGGCAGCAGUGAGGAAUAUUGGUCAAUGGACGCAAGUCUGAACCAGCCAUGCCGCGUGCAGGAUGACGGCUCUAUGAGUUGUAAACUGCUUUUGUACGAGGGUAAACCCCGAUACGUGUAUCGGGUUGAAAGUAUCGUACGAAUAAGGAUCGGCUAACUCCGUGCCAGCAGCCGCGGUAAUACGGAGGAUCCGAGCGUUAUCCGGAUUUAUUGGGUUUAAAGGGUGCGUAGGCGGUUUGAUAUGUUAGAGGUGAAAUGUCGGGGCUCAACCCCGAAACUGCCUCUAAUACUGU
rnacentral:rRNA from 1 species